GUAGGUGGCGAGCGUUGUCCGGAAUUAUUGGGCGUAAAGCGCGCGCAGGUGGUUCGUUUAAGUCUGAUGUGAAAGACCCCCGGGCUCAACCGGGGAGGGUCAUUGGAAACUGGGGAACUUGAGUGCAGGAGAGGAAAGUGGAAUUCCACGUGUAGCGGUGAAAUGCGUAGAUAUGUGGAGGAACACCAGUGGCGAAGGCGACUUUCUGGCCUGUAACUGACACUGAGGCGCGAAAGCGUGGGGAGCAAACAGGAUUAGAUACCCUGGUAGUCCACGCCGUAAACGAUGAGUGCUAAGUGUUGGGGGGUUUCCGCCCCUCAGUGCUGCAGCUAACGCAUUAAGCACUCCGCCUGGGGAGUACGGUCGCAAAGACUG
rnacentral:rRNA from 1 species